rnacentral:rRNA from 1 species
CCUACGGGAGGCAGCAGUGAGGAAUAUUGGUCAAUGGGCGGAAGCCUGAACCAGCCAAGUAGCGUGCAGGAUGACGGCCCUACGGGUUGUAAACUGCUUUUAUACGGGAAUAACGCGCCUUACGUGUAGGUCUUUGCAUGUACCGUAUGAAUAAGGACCGGCUCAUUCCGUGACAGCAGCCGCGGUAAUACGGAAGGCACGAGCGUUAUCCGGAUUCAUUGGGCUUAGAGGGAGCGUAGGCGGGCGUUCAAGUCAGCGGGAAAAUCGCGGGGCUCAACCGCGCCCCGCAGUUGAAACUGGACGCCGUGAGUUGACAACAGGCAGGCGGAAUUCGUGGUGUAGCGGUGAAAUGCAGAGAUAUCACGAGGAACCCCGAUUGCGAAGGCAGCCUGCCGGGGUGCGACUGACGCUGAGGCUCGAAGGUGCGGGUAUCAAACAGGAUUAGAUACCCGAGUAGUC